GCAAACUUGGUCAUUUAGAGGAAGUAAAAGUCGUAACAAGGUUUCCGUAGGUGAACCUGCGGAAGGAUCAUUAUCGAGGAAGGGUCUUCUAGGCCCGAUCUCCAACCCUUGUGACUAAAAUACCAAGUUGCUUUGGCAGGCUGCCCCUUAUGGGCCGUGGGGUUCCGUCGAUCGUUAGCCCAUGCCUGCCAGAAGCCUUCAAAAACUCCUAAAGAAUGUGUUGUCUGAGGAUAGAAUAAUAAUUAAAACUUUCAACAACGGAUCUCUUGGCUCUGGCAUCGAUGAAGAACGCAGC
rnacentral:misc_RNA from 1 species